GAUGAACGCUGGCGGCGUGCCUAAUACAUGCAAGUCGAGCGAACAGACGAGGAGCUUGCUCCUCUGACGUUAGCGGCGGACGGGUGAGUAACACGUGGAUAACCUACCUAUAAGACUGGGAUAACUUCGGGAAACCGGAGCUAAUACCGGAUAAUAUAUUGAACCGCAUGGUUCAAUAGUGAAAGACGGUUUUGCUGUCACUUAUAGAUGGAUCCGCGCCGCAUUAGCUAGUUGGUAAGGUAACGGCUUACCAAGGCGACGAUGCGUAGCCGACCUGAGAGAGUGAUCGGCCACACUAGAACUGAGACACGGUCCAGACUCCUACGGGAGGCAGCAGUAGGGAAUCUUCCGCAAUGGGCGAAAGCCUGACGGAGCAACGCCGCGUGAGUGAUGAAGGUCUUCGGAUCGUAAAACUCUGUUAUUAGGGAAGAACAAAUGUGUAAGUAACUAUGCACGUCUUGACGGUACCUAAUCAGAAAGCCACGGCUAACUACGUG
rnacentral:rRNA from 1 species